AUACGGAGGGUGCAAGCGUUAAUCGGAAUUACUGGGCGUAAAGCGCGCGUAGGCGGCUUAUUAAGUCAGAUGUGAAAUCCCCGGGCUCAACCUGGGAACUGCAUCUGAUACUGGUAAGCUAGAGUUUUGGAGAGGGAAGUAGAAUUUCAGGUGUAGCGGUGAAAUGCAUAGAGAUCUGAAGGAAUACCAGUGGCGAAGGCGACUUCCUGGCCAAAAACUGACGCUGAGGUGCGAAAGCGUGGGUAGCAAACGGGAUUAGAAACCCUAGUAGUCC
rnacentral:rRNA from 1 species